rnacentral:rRNA from 1 species
UACGGAGGGUGCAAGCGUUAUCCGGAUUCACUGGGUUUAAAGGGUGCGUAGGCGGGCAGGUAAGUCAGUGGUGAAAUCCCCGAGCUCAACUUGGGAAUUGCCGUUGAUACUAUCUGUCUUGAAUAUCGUGGAGGUGAGCGGAAUAUGUCAUGUAGCGGUGAAAUGCUUAGAUAUGACAUAGAACACCCAUUGCGAAGGCAGCUCACUACACGAUAAUUGACGCUGAGGCGCGAAAGCGUGGGGAGCAAACAGG